rnacentral:rRNA from 1 species
UCUUGUUUAAAUAUGGAAUCUUCUGAUUUUUUUUUACAAAUAAAUAAAAACUUUCAACAACGGAUCUCUUGGUUCUGGCAUCGAUGAAAAACGCAGCGAAAUGCGAUAAGUAAUGUGAAUUGCAGAAUUCAGUGAAUCAUCGAAUCUUUGAACGCACAUUGCGCCCGCCAGUAUUCUGGCGGGCAUGCCUGUCUGAGCGUCAUUUCAACCCUCAUGCCCCUAGGGCGUGGUGUUGGGGAUCGGCCAAAGCCCGCGAGGGACGGCCGGCCCCUAAAUCUAGUGGCGGACCCGUCGUGGCCUCCUCUGCGAAGUAGUGAUAUUCCGCAUCGGAGAGCGACGAGCCCCUGCCGUUAAACCCCCAACUUUCCAAGGUUGACCUCAGAUCAGGUAGGAAUACCC